CUUUUUUUUUGGCUACCGAUGCUGGUAAUCUCGGCUAGUUAGUGCUUCGUAGAAUCUACCAUCGGAUCAGAAACGCGC